CACGAAGUCGUGUGAGCUAAUUCACUUAUAAAGUAUGUUGCAUAAUAUUUGUUGAAAUUGAAUUAGGGGUGAAAGGCCUUUCAAAAACGAAGAUAUCUUGAAGUAAAUAAAAAAAAUUUAGUUUUAAAAUGAUUACAAAGUUACAAGAUUUUGUAAAGGUUUUAAUAUUUAUUAUUAUAUAAUGUUAAUAUAAAAGUCUACAUAUUAUGAUAAAUUAAUAUGAAAUUAAUAUAAUUUAUUAAAUUAGUUUACGGUAAUAUAACUCCUUAUAUACUCAUUAUGUUAAUAUAAGUAUCUAUAAGAUAUUGAUAGUGAACUCGGCAAUAAAGCUUUCAACUGUUUAUCAAAAACAUAGCCACAUGAUUUGACAUGUGGUGUGUUCUGCUCAAUGAGGUUUAAAUAGCCGCAGUACCCUGACUGUGCAAAGGUAGCGUAAUCAUUUGUCUUCUAAUUAAAGUCGUGUAUGAACGAAUGCAUGGGGGCUUACUUUACCAUUAGUAUAUUUUGAAAUUAUUUAAAAGGUGAAAAACCCUUUAUUUAAAAAAUAGACGAGAAGACCCUUGAAAUUUGUAAAGUAGUUUUGUUGGGGCAACAUAGUAGAUAAACCUACUAAAUGUACAUGUAAUUUAUUUGUUUGAAUAAAUUACUCUAGGGAUAACAGCAUAAUUCUCCAUGAGUUUGUGACCUCGAUGUUGGAUUAGGGAACUAUAACUUAAAA
rnacentral:rRNA from 1 species